rnacentral:rRNA from 1 species
AUGAGCUUCGCCCCACAGCCUAGCUCAUACCAAAACAAUUACUCAUAUGGGUGGCCUGAAAACCAGAAUAUGUCAUAUAGGAACAACAACCCUGAGAUCUCAUCGUUUGCCUCUAGUAAUCCAUUGCAGGGAAUUAGGUACAAUGAGGAGAGCAACAACUAUGCACCACAGCAGUUUUAUUCAGCUCUUAUUCAUGUACCUCAACACCGGGAGAUGUGUCCAAUGGAGUUAAAUGGUCCUCCACUUGGUCAACCAACAACUCCAGCACCUGUUGAGCAAUCUCAUGCACAAGUGCCCACACAAGAUGAGUUCGAUGACAUAGACAAGCUCACAUUGCUUAGUCUCGAGUUCACUUGGAGUGCGGAAGAUGAUCCUAUUAGGAAGGUGAUACUAGAGGAAAUGAAGAAGAUCAAGAGUGGCAAAGAGCUAGUGGAAGAAGUAAGGAAGAUUGAGAAGAAUAUCAACGCUGGCAGUACUAUAUCAUCACAGCUUGAGUUUAGUGUGGCUGAGAUAUCCAUUGAUACAUGUGAGGUUCCAACACCUUCACAUUCAGCUGAGCAAGAUAGCGAGAGUCCAUAG